ACAAAAGAAGACACAAAA
rnacentral:sRNA from 1 species